AAGGAUAGAAGAAAGAGAAAGAAAAAGAUCCAUGAAUCUAAAUUCUUUUACUUUUUCCCUCCUGACCAAUAUCAUUAACAACUUCUGAUCAACCCCUCUUAACAGAUGACAAACUUCCAUCACCCAUCAAAUGACCAAAAAUUACCCACCCCACCUCAUGGGAAUUGGGAAAGCAACUUAACAGUACACCUGAAAGCUCUAGAACAGAAAGAAGCAAACACACCCAAGAGGAGAAGACAACAGGAAAUAGUCAUACUCAGGGUUGAAAUCAACCAGGUAGAAACAAAGAGAAUGAUACAAAGAGUCAACAAAACUAAAAGCUGUUUCUUUAAGAAAACCAACAAUAGAUAAACUUUUAGCCAAACUAACUAAAGGGCACAGAGACAGUAUCCAAAUUAACAAAAUCAGAAAUGAAAAGGGAGAUAUAACAACCGAAACUGAAGAAAUUCAACAAAUCAUUAGAACCUAAUACAAAAACCUAUACUCUACAAAACUGGAAAAUCUAGAGGAAAUGAAUUAUUUUCUAGACAGAUACCAUGUAUUAAAGUUAAAUCAAGAAUAGGUAAUCUAUGCAAACAGUCCCAUAACCCCCAAGGAAAUAGAAGUAGUCAUUAACAACCUCCAAAACAAACAAACAAACAAACAAAUAAACAAAACACGCCCAGGGCCAGAUGGUUUUAAUGCAGAUAUUCUACCAGACCUCCAAGAAGAGCUAAUAGCAAUACUCCUCAAACUAUUGCACAAAAUAGAAACAGAAGGAACACUACCUAAUUCAUUCUAUGGAACCACAGAUACUCUGAUUCCUAAACCACACAAAGAUCCAAAAAAAAGAAAGAAAGAAAGAAAGAAAGAAAGAAAGAAAGAAAGAAAGAAAGAAAGAAAGAAAGAAAGCGAGCAUCAUGCCAAUUUCACUUAUGAAUAUCGAUGCAAAAAUUCUCCAGAAAAUUCUUGGAAAUUGAAUCAAAGAACACAUCAAAAUCAUCAUUCACCAAGAUCAAGAUGGCUUCAUUCCAGAGAUGUAAGGAUGGUUCAAUAUAUUCAAAUCCAUCAAUGUAAUACAUAUACAAACAAUCUCAAGGAAAAAAGUCACAUGAUCAUUGCAAUGGAUGCUGAAAAAGCCUUUGACAAAAUCUAACAAUCCUUCAUGUUAAAAGUCAUAGAGAGAUGAAGAAUUCAUGGCAUGCACCUAAACAUAAUAAAAUCAAUGCACUCUCCCUAUCUAUUUAAUAUAGACUUGUUCUAG
rnacentral:lncRNA from 1 species